GAUGAACGCUAGCUACAGGCUUAACACAUGCAAGUCGAGGGGUAACGAGAGGAAAGCUUGCUUUCCUUGUCGACGACCGGCGCACGGGUGAGUAACGCGUAUCCAACCUGCCCCCAACUAGGGAAUAACCUCGCGAAAGUAAGACUAAUACCCUAUAAUUUCCUCAGAUGACAUCUGACGAGGACUAAAGAUUUAUCGGUUGUGGAUGGGGAUGCGUCUGAUUAGCUUGUUGGCGGGGUAAAGGCCCACCAAGGCAACGAUCAGUAGGGGUUCUGAGAGGAAGGUCCCCCACAUUGGAACUGAGACACGGUCCAAACUCCUACGGGAGGCAGCAGUGAGGAAUAUUGGUCAAUGGCGGAAGCCUGAACCAGCCAAGUAGCGUGCAGGAUGACGGCCCUAUGGGUUGUAAACUGCUUUUAUACAGGAAUAAAGUUAGCCACGUGUGGUUAUUUGUAGGUACUGUAUGAAUAAGGACCGGCUAAUUCCGUGCCAGCCGCCGCCGUAA
rnacentral:rRNA from 1 species